GACGAACGCUGGCGGCGUGCUUAACACAUGCAAGUCGAGCGGUAAGGCCCUUCGGGGUACACGAGCGGCGAACGGGUGAGUAACACGUGGGUAAUCUGCCCUGCACUCUGGGAUAAGCCCGGGAAACUGGGUCUAAUACCGGAUACGACCUCCUUCCGCAUGGUGGGGGGUGGAAAGUUCCGGCGGUGCAGGAUGAACCCGCGGCCUAUCAGCUUGUUGGUGGGGUAAUGGCCUACCAAGGCGACGACGGGUAGCCGGCCUGAGAGGGCGACCGGCCACACUGGGACUGAGACACGGCCCAGACUCCUACGGGAGGCAGCAGUGGGGAAUAUUGCGCAAUGGGCGAAAGCCUGACGCAGCGACGCCGCGUGAGGGAUGACGGCCUUCGGGUUGUAAACCUCUUUCAGCAGGGACGAAGCGCGAGUGACGGUACCUGCAGAAGAAGCACCGGCCAACUACGUGC
rnacentral:rRNA from 1 species